CAGCCGCCGCGGUAAUACGUAGGUGGCAAGCGUUGUCCGGAAUUAUUGGGCGUAAAGGGCUCGCAGGCGGUUUCUUAAGUCUGAUGUGAAAGCCCCCGGCUCAACCUGGGAGGGUCAUUGGAAACUGGGAAACUUGAGUGCAGAAGAGGAGAGUGGAAUUCCACGUGUAGCGGUGAAAUGCGUAGAGAUGUGGAGGAACACCAGUGGCGAAGGCGACUCUCUGGUCUGUAACUGACGCUGAGGAGCGAAAGCGUGGGGAGCGAACAGGAUUAGAUACCCCUGUAGUCCCUGUCUCUUAUAA
rnacentral:rRNA from 1 species